ensembl:snRNA U6 U6 spliceosomal RNA
UUUGCUCACUUCAGCAGCAGAAUAUACUAAAAUUGGAACAACACAGAGAUUAGCACAGCCCCUGAAGAAGGAUGACAUGCAAAUUUGUGGAGCGUUCCAUAUUAAA